GGACUGUAGGCUGCAACUCGCCUACACGAAGUCGGAAUCGCUAGUAAUCGCGGAUCAGCAUGCCGCGGUGAAUACGUUCCCGGGCCUUGUACACACCGCCCGUCACACAUGGGAGUUUGUAACGCCCAAAGUCGGUGGCCUAACCUUUAUGGAGGGAGCCGCCUAAGGCGGGACAGAUGACUGGGGUGAAGUCGUAACAAGGUACC
rnacentral:rRNA from 1 species